GGGAACAUGCAGAGAUAUCAAUAAGAUCUGCUGUUGAACAGACAAAAGAUCCAUCGUAGAGGAAACUCUACUAGGGAGCUCAUCAGGGGAUAAUAUGAAAUUUUGUGGGGAACAACCACCAAACGGAUACACAUCAAUCAAGCCGUCUCUUCUAACUGCUAAAGAGACAUCUCUACUGACGGGAGAAGGAACAAACUACUCUGCUGGGGAAGGAAAC
rnacentral:lncRNA from 1 species